rnacentral:rRNA from 1 species
GAUGAACGCUAGCGGCAGGCUUAAUACAUGCAAGUCGAGGGGUAGCAUGAUUGUAGCAAUACAAUUGAUGACGACCGGCAAACGGGUGCGGAACACGUACACAACCCUUCCUACAAGUGGGGAAUAGCCCAGAGAAAUUUGGAUUAAUACCCCGUAACAUAGCGAUGUGGCAUCACAUUGCUAUUAUAGCUUCGGCGCUUGUUGAUGGGUGUGCGGCUGAUUAGAUAGUUGGCGGGGUAACGGCCCACCAAGUCUACGAUCAGUAGCUGAUGUGAGAGCAUGAUCAGCCACACGGGCACUGAGACACGGGCCCGACUCCUACGGGAGGCAGCAGUAAGGAAUAUUGGACAAUGGACGCAAGUCUGAUCCAGCCAUGCCGCGUGAAGGAUUAAGGUCCUCUGGAUUGUAAACUUCUUUUAUAAGGGACGAAAAAGGUACUUUACGUAGAUCGUCUGACGGUACCUUAUGAAUAAGCACCGG